rnacentral:lncRNA from 10 species
AUUCCCUGCCCGCCCUGCUCCCCGCCCCGGUACCGCUGUGAGCGGUCUGUGGCCCUGGGCACCUCCAUCCGCCGCGGCGCCCCUCCACCAUCUACCUUCCGCCUGACUGGGGCUUGCCUUUCCGGGCUGGCGGGUGCCACUUCGGAUAAACCCUUUGGACUCCUAACUCCAAUCAGGUGUCUGCUUUGUUGAGGACUCACAGACACAGUCUCCUUUCUUCAAGAUCUUUACAAUGCAAGACCUCACUAACACACAGGGAUGGUCUCCCAGAGGGUCUGUGCUGUUCCUUCACUCAGAACAUCAAGAUGCACUGAAGUAAGGAUCCUCUAUUCUACAGUUCCUGCUAGCUGAGCUAUUCCAUGGGGGCUUCAGCAGGAAAUUCCAAGGUUGGCUUUGACAAGCUAAGGCCGGCUGGUGGAGCACAUCGAGUUCUGGAGGUUCAUGUGUGUUUUCAUGAAGAUCUGUCUGCCCGUAGCAGAUAAAGAGUUGUUGCCCCACUCCUCCUGGGGUCUUCUAUUUUCCUGGGAGGAAUUUCUGGAUUAACUGAACACACACACACACACACACACCCUUUUGAAGCAUCAACAGUAAUUCUGAGUUCUUAGGGACAAUGCAGAUUAAAUCCACAAUAAGAAAGACAACUAUGGCCAGGUGUGGUGGCUCACGCCUGUAAUCCCAGAACUUUGGGAGGCUGAGGCGGAUGGAUCACCUGAGGUCAGGAGUUAGAGACCAACCUGACCAACAUGGAGAAACCCCGUUUCUACUAAAAAUGCAAAAUUAGCCGGGCAUGGUGGCAGGCGCCUGUAAUCCCAAAUACUCGGGAGGCUGAGGCAGGAGAAUCACUUAAACCCGGGAGGCAGAGGUUGCAGUGAGCCAAGAUCGCGCCAUUGCACUCCAGCCUGGGCAAGAAGAGCAAAACUCCAUCUCAAAAAAAAAAAAAGAGUACUAUUGAUCCAGAGGUGACCAGACUAGCCUCACUGGAGAUAAUAGGUGACAUUAUUAUGCAAAGUGGUUUCAGUUCCCUUGUCUUGUUUUUGGAAUAGUAUAAGAGGCCUACAAUACGAAUAAAUAAGGCCCAUCACAAGCCUCACCAAAGGACAAAACUAAUCCACUUCUGAAGAAGGCUCUUUGUUGGGCCAGAUCAAAUCCUUGGACAGAACUGUACUCUUAAUCUCUGUAGUGAAAGUGGGGGGUAGUUUAAGAAUUUAUUAACCUUCUACCUUGAGCAAUCCCUCAGAAGUAAGAGGUGUCAGGCCUCUGAGCCGAAGCUCAGCCAUUGUAACCCCUGUGACCUGCACAUAUAUGUCCAGAUGGCCUGCAGGAGCCAAGAAGUCUGGGGCAGCUGAAAAACCACACAAGAAGUAAAACAGCCAGUUCCUGCCUUAACUGAUUAACCAACAUUACAACAUUCCACCAUUGUGACCUGUCCCUGUCCUACCUUAACUGAUCAAUCGACCUUGUGACAGUCUUCUUCUGGACAAUGGGUCUUAUCAUCUCCCCACCAUGUACCUUGUGACCCCCUCCUCUGCUAACAAUAGAUAACCACUUUUUACUGUAAUUUUCCAUUACCUACCCAACUCCUAUAAAGCAACCCCUUCCCCAUCUCCCUUCACUGACUCUGUUUUCAGACUCAGCCCACUUGCACUCAAGUGAAUAAACAGCCUUGUUGCUCACACAAAGCCUGUUGGUGGUCUCUUCACACAGAUGUGCUUGACAAAAGGGAAGGGUGGAUUUGUCCUUCUGGUUACAUAUGUUCUGCUCACUCAUUUUGAAUUUAAUUAAACAAGGAUUGCCCUUACCUUUUCAUACUUUGUAAGAAACCAUAAAUACUUAUGCACCAUGAUUUUUUUAAAGAAACACUUUUUAUUUUGAAGUAAUUAUAGUCUCAUAGGAAGUUGCAAAAGUAGUACAUAGAGUCCCUGAGUACUCUUCCCCCAGUGGUGACAACUGUAGUAUAAUAUCAAUUCUGGGAAAUUGACAUUGGUACAAUACCAAAUAUACUAUGCCUUUUUCUCUAAGGCAUGAUGUUGCAGUAGCAUCCUUGUACAUGUAGCUAGGAGAACUUGUACUAAGCCCAGAUAAAUAGUUGAAGUACAAGGGCAAGGAGUGUGUCUUUGAUAUUUUAAUAGAAAUCACCUAUUGCCCUCUAGAAAAGCUGUACCCUUUUCCAGUGGCAGAGAACCUUCCUGAAAGGCAGUCCUGUGUAAUGGUGUCCAUUUCAUCACACCCUUAAAACACUCAGCUUUAACAAACAUGCAGAUUUUUGCUGAUGUGGGAGAAAAUAUUAAUUAUUAAUGAUAUUAAGGUGAUUAUCUUUUCGUAUGUUUAUAGAUAUUUGUAUUUCUUUUUAAAUGAACUGCUCAUGACCUUUGUCUACU